UCUAGAGGUCUGCUGACAGGGACACAUUUACACAUCAUGUCCCCUCUGAGAGGAUCCCCGAGCAUCCACAUGCCUCUGACAGAGCCUCUCUCCCUCGGGGACUCUACCUGUCUUCUGGGCACAUCUGAGUCUUGGAUUCUUCACAUCGUGGAGAUGGCGAAGACUCCGGAGGUUAGAUAAUUUAGGUUACACCUGUUUCCCCGCUUCAAACACCUCCCUGCCUUCAACAGAAGAGCGUGGAUGUACUACAGUUGGCUGAAACUUUGGCAAAGGGGUGAAUGUGCUACUGCUCAGGUGUGACACUUUCAGGAGCCACUCUGACAGUCCAAAUGAAGAUGUAUGGUGGCCCAGGGGUGAGCCAGACGCAGAGGUGGAUAAUGGAUUAGUGAAGAUCAAUCCGGCUGUUUCCUGUGAGGAAAAACAGAGCAGAUUUAUCUUCAGUCCUUCGUCCCGCGGCCACCCAGGGACCACUUAAAGGAAAAAGAUCUAAGUCUGAUGUGUAAAUAUCUUCAGAUGGGAUGGAAAAAUGGACGUGCCAUCAAGAGUCCACCAGAAGAGAACAAAGAGCAGAAGAAUCUUUGUAAACCUGUGACCUGUUACAAAAGUUUCUGGAGUUUCAGGAGAAGCAAAAACAAAUCCACAUCAGAAGUCUUUUUUUUCCUUCCUUUUUGUAGAACUUCUGUCACACUUUGGCUCCGGUUUGGAAAAGUAAUUCCUCUCAAAAUAAAUCUUUAGGUAAAGGGAAUGAUCCGGAGACGGGCUGGCUCAGAGACACUGCCGUCUUGUGUCAUGAGAUACUAAUUCCUUUCCAGCAGCAACAGCAGACAGCACUGUAUUGCACUUGUGAAGAACUCUUAGUAAGUGCUGAAGAAAGAAGCUCAUCGCUAAAUAUUGCUGUAGGUUCCGAAAUGUAACAACAUUUAUAUUUUCAUAUCGGCGAUAGAAAGUAUUUUAAAAAGAAUAUUUCUGAUUGACGACUACGAAAUCUAUUCAAUGAGAUUUUAAAAAGCCUAAAGGUGAAACUCCACGUAAAACCAUUUGAGUACGGAACACCCACUUUUAGUAGACUUGAAAAGUGGCUGUAAAAAAAGCAGCAAAAACUUCACUCGGUCCUUAGAAACUUUUCAUACGACUCCUGCAGCAUAAUCCACUUCUGUUGUUGAUUUAUGAGCUCAUUUUGGCAAAGAAAUAUGGGGAUAAAAUUUGCCCUUAAGGACGUUAAGUAUCUACUGCAGCCGCAGUGAAUGCAAGGUGAGCAAAGUGUGUGUGCAAGCAGCUUGUUCCCCGAGCAGGGCAAAACUACAAACCUUUACCGCAUUGUUUAUACUCUAAAGAUCAAUGUGAGGUGGAGAAUCACAUUUAUGGCUAUUGCAGGUAAAACAGGAAAAGAAAUCACCAAACUUAAAGUUAGAAGCAGAAGAACAAGUAUGUUGAUAAUACGGUCCAACUGGGAUCAUUCUCCUGCACAGUUUGUCUCAAGCCCGUGGAAAAAGGCAGAUAAGCUGUGUGAACAGAGACGACAACAGAACACUUCAGCUGGCCACAAAAAUGUGAAAAAGACAAAAUAGAAUUUGCAUUUAUUGAAAUAUUUCUAGAUUAAAGAUUUAUGGCUGAGAAAUCAUGAUGGCAGAGGUCAAAAUAUUGCCUCAUGAUCAGAUUCCUUUAAAAUCCAGUUGCACGGACACAUAAUUGUUUCUCAAGAUAAGCAGGUUGGCUCUUCAUCAUCGUCACUUUAAAUCUGUGACGUUGCAGGUUUUAUAAUAUUCCACGGGGCUGUUCAAAAGUCUCUUAUAGUGUUAUUGAUUUAAAUUUGCACGUGUGUCUUCUCAUACGUCACUUUGCAUUCAGUCAACUCGUGAGUAAUGUGAGUUAGCAAAGAUUUUGUAAGUGUUAACUAAGUGUCAUAAAAUACGGAAGCCCUGAUUCUGGUGACCUAAGUCUGACCCACAGUGUGUUCUCUUCUGUGUUUAUCACUUUAUGACUUUCAGGACCUUAGAUCCUGAAUUUCAUUUUUGUCAGAAUCAUUUGACAUGACAGUAAUGUUACACAACAGAAAAUAUACAUCGCUUUUAUAAAGUACUUAAAUUAGAACUUGAAUAUGAAUAUUUUUGUUCCUAAUUAGAACAUGGGGAAAUGGUGCACUUCAGCCUCUUGUGGCCAAAAUGAGUAGUACAACAACAUUUAUACGAAUUUUAGGAAUUUAGAUUAUGUAGCAAAAGUAAAAAAAAAUUCACUGAAGUCAUAAAUGCAAAAGAGAAAACUACUUUAAUCAGAUUGAUAAAACUGAUCAGCAGAGUUUUGUCUUUCGCUUGCCUCUCAGGGCUUCAGUAUAGUGUAUAUGUUUUAACCAGCACAGAAUGUUAUUUCGAGAAUCUCAAAUAUUCUCCAGCACUAAUGUCACAAAGUCAAAUUCCAGCAGAAGCACCACAAACACACUAUCAGGCACAAGCCUCCAUUCCUCUCUGCUGGAUGAGCUCCAAGUUUAGGAUUGCGAUCAGCUGCUCUCAGCUGUUUUCACCGGGAGCUGAAGACCUCCAAUAAAGACUCCACAGGGAACAUUUCAUCACCUGAAAUACAACCAGCACACUUCACCACCGCCGUGCGUUCACUCAUGAACCUUAACUCUUGGCGAUGUGAGUGCAUAGAAUGCUGUUUUGUGCAUAUGUGGAGUAAUGCACUGAGGGGGUUUCAAUUACACCGAUUCUUGCUUAGAGCGCUCAUUAUAAUGGUUCUGAACACAGUGACUGCAAAGCAGGACUCAAGCAGAGUUAAAAGCAGAAUUUUGCAACUGGGACUCAGUGAGAGAGGACAAACUAAGCAGGUAGGCAGGCAGGUGACACCAG